rnacentral:tRNA from 1 species
GCCCGAGUGGUGAAAUCGGUAGACACAAGGGAUUUAAAAUCCCUCGACGUUCGCGUCGUGACGGUUCGAUCCCGUCCUCGGGCACCA